rnacentral:rRNA from 1 species
AGUGAACGCUGGCGGUAGGCCUAACACAUGCAAGUCGAACGGCAGCACAGUAAGAGCUUGCUCUUACGGGUGGCGAGUGGCGGACGGGUGAGGAAUACAUCGGAAUCUACUUUUUCGUGGGGGAUAACGUAGGGAAACUUACGCUAAUACCGCAUACGCCCUACGGGUGAAAGCAGGGGAUCUUCGGACCUUGCGCGAUUGAAUGAGCCGAUGUCGGAUUAGCUAGUUGGCGGGGUAAAGGCCCACCAAGGCGACGAUCCGUAGCUGGUCUGAGAGGAUGAUCAGCCACACUGGAACUGAGACACGGUCCAGACUCCUACGGGAGGCAGCAGUGGGGAAUAUUGGCCAAUGGGCGCAAGCCUGAUCCAGCCAUACCGCGUGGGUGAAGAAGGCCUUCGGGUUGUAAAGCCCUUUUGUUGGGAAAGAAAAGCAGCAGGUUAAUACCCCGCUGUUCUGACGGUACCCAAAGAAUAAGCACCGGCUAACUUCGUG